UACGAAGGGGGCUAGCGUUGCUCGGAAUCACUGGGCGUAAAGGGUGCGUAGGCGGGUUUUUAAGUCAGGGGUGAAAUCCUGGAGCUCAACUCCAGAACUGCCUUUGAUACUGAAGAUCUUGAGUCCGGGAGAGGUGAGUGGAACUGCGAGUGUAGAGGUGAAAUUCGUAGAUAUUCGCAAGAACACCAGUGGCGAAGGCGGCUCACUGGCCCGGUACU
rnacentral:rRNA from 1 species